rnacentral:lncRNA from 1 species
UUUAUUUUUCUGUAAGAUUUUUUUAGGGUUCCCUCAACCCUUUGAGCACCGCCGCUCCCCUUUGCGCCAAGGCUCCGAUUGCGACGGAGAUGGCCACGACUCGACGGGUUCGGCGUAUGGGUAAGUUUUUCCUUCCUUUUCUUUAUAUUUUAAAUGAAAAAUAAAUAAGAAAAAUAAAAAAUAAAAACACGAUUCACCUUCGAAAAAAAAUCUUUG